UAAUUGGGCUGUUCUUGUUGCUGAACUCCGAAAACAUCUCCAUACAACGGACGACCAUAUUCAUCAACGGGAGGCUUUCCCCAGCCACCAGGAUGGUAACCAAAGCUAGCUCCAGGUGGUAUGGGAGCAUUGAGUCCAGGGAUUUUCAGGUGUGGGUAAGAUGGUGGAGGGCCAUACCUCUGCAUAUUGAUAAGCCAAGGAGGAGGAGCACCCUCUGGCAUACCAAGAGCUUCUUUUAAUUCUUGUGAAAG
rnacentral:misc_RNA from 1 species